AGAUCAUUGUUCUACCAAUGUGGACCAUCUUCGCAACCAGCUGGAGGCAGUUUUAGUGCGACUGAAAAGCUUUCAGACCCCUGUGUGAGCUAGUUAUACUAGCAACUUGCUGUGUCAUGUCCGUUCUCGUUAUACAUAUGAUAUGGUACCUAUUUAUCCUGAGAUCUCUUUUGCUACUGGUGCAAUCACCUCUCACGAGGGAGUUAAAGCCUCUCUGAUUGAAUGCGGGUCUUGUGUUAUAGGAGCCAAAGCUGCCUAGUCCUGUAGGUCAGUCAUUUAGCCCACUACGCCAUCAGAGACUUUAUUAGAGCCUGAACAAUCAGAAAACUUUAUAUUAGCAUCUACCUUUUAUCACCCAUGUAUUUCGGGGUAAGGGGAAUACAUAUAUACUUAGACUGCGAGGAAUACCACUACUGAGACUGGCACAAGAGAGAAUGGAACUGAAAAAGGCCCUAUAACCCACUUUAUCACAAGAUCUAAAAAAGGGUUUCUCACUGGAUAGAUUGCAUUUGAGGA
rnacentral:lncRNA from 1 species